CAAAUACUUCCUCCGUCUUAAAAUUUUUGUCUUAGCUUUACCUAAAAAUAAAUGUAUCUAAAUACUAAAAUUUAACUAGAUACAUUCAUAUUUAAACAAAUCUAAGACAAGAAUUUUAGGACGAACGGAGUACUAC
rfam:Hordeum vulgare subsp. vulgare, WGS project CAJW01000000 data, contig: morex_contig_1565581